ACUGGAUAUAAGAUGUGUGCAGUUGUCCUCGUAUAGACUUGAAGUGAUGUGUUGAUUUAUUUUUUGUUAAUUUAUUAGUCCAGCUUACUUAAGAUUCAAUGAUUAUUUGAUUAUGACUAUAUCACGUGACUUCAGGAUCGUAUUAUUACUAAUUCUAAUGUGUACUAAAAGCAUACAUGCUCUGGACAGGUUAGAAAAUUUCGCAAUAAAUAACAAUGGAUUAGGACAAUACAGUUUUGAGUUUCAAACGUCGGAUGGAACGCAUAGAAACGAAGUUGGUGGAUUGUAU